rnacentral:misc_RNA from 1 species
GAUGAAGAACGUAGCGAAAUGCGAUACGUAGUGUGAAUUGCAGAAUUCCGUGAACCAUCAAAUCUUUGAACGCAUAUUGCGCUCGAGGCUUCGGCCGAGAGCAUGUCUGCCUCAGCGUCGGUAUUACCCCUCGCUUCUCAACCCCUGGUUGAUGCCUGCCUGCCUUUGCAGUUGGCUAGAAGCGGAUCUGGCUUUCCCAAUUGCCUUUGGUAGUUGGGUCAGCUGAAGCACAGAGGCUUGAGCAAGGACCCUUAUUGGGCUUCAACUGGAUAGGUAGAACUGGUCUUAGGACCAACUACACGAAGUUGUUGCUUGUGGUCUUUGUCUGGAUGCCAGCAGGAAACCUUUAUACCUUCGACCUGAGCUCAGGCAAGAUUACCCGCUGAACUUAAGCAUAUCAAUAAGCGGAGGA